rnacentral:rRNA from 1 species
GAUGAACGCUGGCGAUAGGCUUAACACAUGCAAGUCGAGGGGCAGCAUGGUCUUAGCUUGCUCAGGCUGAUGGCGACCGGCGCACGGGUGCGUAACGCGUAUGCAACUUGCCUCACAGAGGGGGAUAACCCGCCGAAAGACAGACUAAUACCGCGUACACUCUAUUUUGGGCAUCCAAUGUAGAGGAAAUGAAAUUCGCUGUGAGAUAGGCAUGCGUCCCAUUAGCUAGUUGGUGAGGUAACGGCUCACCAAGGCGACGAUGGGUAGGGGAACUGAGAGGUGGAACCCCCACACUGGUACUGAGACACGGACCAGACUCCUACGGGAGGCAGCAGUGAGGAAGAUUGGGCAAUGGGCGAGAGCCUGAACCAGCCAGGUCGCGUGAAGGAUGACUGUCUUAUGGAUUGUAAACUUCUGUUAUACGGGAAUAACAAGAGUCACGUGUGGCUCCCUGCAUGUACCGUAUGAAUAAGCAUCGGCUAACUCCGUG